UCCGUGCCACCUUUGCAGUUCCGUGUAUAGCCCCAUACGACCAACCCAUCUGUUAAGAUUUCUUUGUAACGUGGAUGCAACCAUUUAUUGUCAUUUGUGUAUUCAAAUUCUUUGUCCUCUACGCUGAAUCGGGUUUGGCUGAUCACGCACCCUUCACGUGUCUGCAUUGAGCCUUGACUACAAAGAGAGCUAUCCGUGAACAGUAUGCUGAUUACGCGAAAUUUCACUGUCAUGGAGCUGCUCUCUUUAUGGACAGGCUCGCAAUCAACGGAAAAAUGUUAUCUAACUACGAAACAUUCGACCUACUUUUUCAAUAUCAUUUAUAUCCAGUUAUUAUUACAGCUUUGUAGAACCCUGCCUGUUGAACUGAUUUGUCAUCCUCAUACAACUUUGUUGCGUAAUCUUCUUGGUUACCCAAGUCGCCUACGUUUAUCUUCGUCCACAACUACACGCCAUCAAAAUUGGUUUUUAAAAGGCUUAAUGAAACAGAAAUCCAAUCGCCUUGAGUUACGUUAAAUGUCUUUUGAUUUAAAAAAUUUUAAAGAAAUUUUGCCAAAAGUAAAAAUAUUAUCAAUCAUACUUAUACCCAUGUUAUACGUAAAAUGUAUGUUAUUAUUCGUAUAAAACAAAAAAUGGUAACUGUAGACGACUGAAGUAGUAACAAACCAGAUACAUCAAUUAGUUUUCCUUAUAUCAACGCGAACCCUUUGCUUUCGAAUAACAAUUUCUUAAUCUUGAUAAUCCCAUGUUUAGAAUACUUGAGAUCAUAUCCUUAGUUUUAUAUUUUAUCAAACGAGAAAUUUGAAAAAAAAAAUGGUUAAGUCCGCAAAAUUACCUGUUGUGAGUGCCUAUCAUAUUGGGGAUUUGGUAUAUACCGGAGUUUUAACUGAAUUCCUUAUCACGUAAUACGUUAUCUUUAUGUUUGCCUUUUUCAGCUCUAUAACAACCUCUGUCCGUACCACCUCCCCUAGCGUCUCCCACUACAAUAAAUAAAAGCUACUACAAUCUUUAUACCAAAAAGUGUUAAUAAAAAAGUACCGGAUACGUGAAAGGGGAAAUACUCCCAUUUCGGGAUAACUCUUGAUUGCAUAGAUUCGCGGUCUUUAUUGAGCUAUAAAGGCAAUGUAGUUCGACUGUUUGGGUAUCAUACGCUUGUGUGUCUCUUUUAGUGUACAUUUCUGCUUUUGAGAGUAGCCAAUGCUAGUCGCAUUACUGUAGAUACUCAAAUUCAGACUAGAAGACCGUAAACGUACAAUGAAGAUGAAUACUCAUUGGUUGAUUGCAAUCAUUCUUCUGACUUCGCUUUUCACAAAUGCCUUCGCCUCCAAAUCUAAAUAUUGCCAACGCAAACCGAACUCGUUGAAACUGUCGAAAGCUCUGAAAAUGCAGAAGAACACAACACGGUGUGCGGGAGAAUUACUUUACGACCAUCUCAACAUAACCGGAAUUCCAACAUUGCUGAGGAUUCCCAAAAUUAUUUGUCGUCCUGGAACGGGUGACCACUGCAUUCAACUCAUGCUUCCCAUUUUUGGAGCGAAUGGCCACGAUGGCCAACCGGACAAGUAUGUUAAAAGCGGAUGCGUUGACAGAUCUCAUGCGAAAAAGAAAUCGGGAGCCGACAAAGGGACAGGAAAGAAAGGCAAGGACAAGUCUUCUUUGAAAGCUAGGCGUAGACGAUCGCUUUCGUUGAAUGUCAGGCCCCAACAUUCUACGGAUUCGCCAUCGUAGUAAAACUCAUCGCUCGUUUUCGUGGAUCAUCCCCGUUUGUUUGCCGUACUAUGUGUGGCCAACUUCUGUUUUUUCUGAAGAUGACUGAUUAUUUGCUACGUUUUUCUUCUUAUUUGGUAUGCUUGUGUGACGUUCUGAGACAGAUUUCUGUAUUGAGAAUCAUUUAACAAUAAUACAACAUAACUUGAU